rnacentral:tRNA from 1 species
UUCCUGGUAGCCUAGUGACUAAGACUCUGUACUCCCAGUGUAGGGGGCCCAGGUUCAAUCCCUGGUCAGGGAA